AACGAACGCUGGCGGCAGGCCUGACACAUGCAAGUCGAGCGAGAUCUUCGGGUCUAGCGGCGGACGGGUGAGUAACGCGUGGGAAUAUGCCUCUUGGUACGGAAUAGCCUCGGGAAACUGGGAGUAAUACCGUAUGUGCCCUUUGGGGGAAAGAUUUAUCGCCAAGAGAUUAGCCCGCGUUGGAUUAGGUAGUUGGUGGGGUAAUGGCCUACCAAGCCGACGAUCCAUAGCUGGUUUGAGAGGAUGAUCAGCCACACUGGGACUGAGACACGGCCCAGACUCCUACGGGAGGCAGCAGUGGGGAAUCUUAGACAAUGGAGGCAACCCUGAUCUAGCCAUGCCGCGUGAGUGAUGAAGGCCUUAGGGUUGUAAAGCUCUUUCAGCUGGGAAGAUAAUGACGGUACCAGCAGAAGAAGCCCCGGCUAACUCCGUG
rnacentral:rRNA from 1 species